rnacentral:rRNA from 1 species
AUGGAUCGAGCGGGAAUCAAGGAAGAAUUUAACUCAUAUUUGCGUAACGCUGAUCUUGUGAGCUUCGAGGCAGACAAAUGCCGCCAGUACCACUAUUUCACUAGUUCAUUUGUGAGGAGGUUUGAAUUUUCAUCUUCACGUAAUUCUCCAACUGUCAUGUUUGAUCUUUAUGAAAAAUCUUAUACCAUGGACUUAGAGGAUUUUACUACUGCUUGCAAACUUCCACAAUGGGGUAGUGCUAGUGAACCCCGCAAAUCUGAAUUUAGAAAUUUUCUUGCUAGUAUAACUAUGGGGGAAUCUAGAGAUACAGCACAAGCUACCAUAGGGAGCAUUCAUUUUCCUGCUAUACAUUAUUUUGCUCUCUUCAUAGGUAGGUGCGUAACUGGUAAAGAUGAAGCAUGUCAUAUGUGUGUUCCUGACCUCAGUAUUCUUAGGAGUGCUAUGUUAGGAGACAAAUCUUAUAAUUUGGGAGCCAUUAUUGCACGUAGGUGCAUCAUAAUAGAUUUAAUGGAGAUUUCUUUGGAGGAAUUUGUGCAGCCCGCUUAG